GGCAAGCCCCACCCCCACUGCAGCCACGGCCAAUGAAAGGGGAGGGCGGAGCUGCUGCUCAGAGCCGGGACAGACAAUGGACUUAGGAGCCGACGCGGUGGUGGCCCAAGAAGAGAAAUAGGUGGCCCAAAAAUGGCUGGCAAGGAGGCUGCUGUCAGGCAGGGAGGCAGAGAGGUAGCUGGGUGGCGGGCAAAGCCCCGCCGCCUGGAGGAGGCCUCCGGUGGGCUCAGGAGGAGGUGUGGUGGUGGCAGGGCCCAGCCGAAAAAGGCGGCCUACCGCUCGGACAACGGGCUUAGGAGGCGAUGCGGCGGCGGCAUGGCCACCCGAAAAUGGCUGGCAGGGAGGGAGGGAGCUGGGUGGCAGGCAAAGCUCCACUGCCUGGAGGAGGCUGCCGCCGGGCUCAGGAAGAGGCGCGGUGGCAGCGGGGCCCAGCCAAAAAUGGCGGCCCGCCGCCCGGUGAGGAAGAGGCGCGGUGGCAGUGGGGCCAGGCCGAAAAGGGCCUGUUGCCACACAGAGGUAGAGAAAAUGACCCGCUGCCUGGUAAGGAGGAGGCGUGGCAGCGGGGCCCGGGCGGAGGGCAGCGGGGACUGGGGCAGUAGUAUACUGUCGCACAGAUGCUCUGUGCGGGUUCCGCUGGUUAUUUUUAAUAUACAAGUACUCAUCAACACUGCAGCUGGCAAGCACCAUUGCAAAACAGACAUUCUGCUUUUCUCUCACAUAAGAGAGGGACAGAGGUCUUUCCCACUCCUACCUAAAGAUGCCAGGGAUUGAACCAGGGAUUUCCUGCAUGCAAAAAAAAAGUUCACACCAGGGCCCUGCCUAGGCCAGUUGGGCUUUAGGUAGAAUAGUAGAAUUCUAGAGUUGGAAGGGACCUGGGAGGUGUUCUAGUCCAGCCCCUUGUUCAGUGCAGGACACUGUGAAAUCAUUCACCCUGUGAUGCAGAUUUGCUCCCUCAUUGUCUGAUCCUAGGUUUUUCCCCAUUCACUGAGCUACACCAGAUGAAGCAGAAGCUUGCAGUACAGCAGCAAAAGCAACAUUCAGUAGUACAACUGGGGCAAAGCUAGUCUGCUUGCCUGCAGGACCACUAAACGUGCCUUGCCCUUUCCCCCCUGCUAAGUAUUUGGCAGAUUUGAGCUGGAGCUAGGGGUCUGUGAGCAGCACUGAUAGCUUUGGGGAUUUGUCACAGGCAGGCAGACUUCUUUCUCAUGUCUUCUGUGCCAGGCAGGAGAUGACACACUGAGGAUAGGGCAGGGUUGUAGUCCUGGGGCGAGGAGACAAGGUGAGGGAGCUUAGUGGAUAUAAAAUGUAAAAAAUAAAAAUAAAUAAAAUAGUGCCAGAUCUCAGACUCUGCCAGUACACAGAAUGUACUCGUUUCCUUGUGAGAAAUACUGAAUAAUGCACAGUGAUAUCUGCAUAGAUACCAAAAGACAUCCGCUGACAUGAUGAGGAAAAUUACUCCAAGUAGCCCCAGCGAAAUGAAAAGAAGUUAAUAGAAUGCCCAGGGGCAGAGCCAUCGUUGUGCGGAUGGGUCCAAAGAACCUGGCCGCCACUCUCUCUGGAGCCGGCCCACCCAACCUAGCCACGCCCUCUGCAUCUGACAUCCAAUGCAGGGGGCAUGGCCAUAUGCAGAAACGGUGCCACGCGGCCCCGUUAGCAAGGCGCUUCACCCAGUGCUGGGUUUCCAGCCUGGCUAGCAGUGCCUUUCUCUACCUUGAAAGGCAGAGAGAUGCAUUUCCAGCCAGGGUGGGAACCCAGAGCUGUCUGAAGCAUCUCACAAAGGAGGCCACCUGGGGCCUCGGUGCAGGGGUGUGGCAAGGGCACCUAGGGGAUGCCGGUGGUGGGUUGCACUCACACCGCCACUGGUUUCCUACGCACCUGAUAAUGCCUUUUAAUUUCAAUGGGGCUACUUUGAAUAAUGCCAGCUAUCAAAGAUAGCAAGGGCUAGGAAACUGUCAUUCUUUGGCAGCAUAGGUCAACUUAAAUACCCACAUCCACAUGGUUCUAGGGCUGAGACGUGACACUGAAAAAGGUUCGGGGGCUGAGCCCUAAGAUAUUCUGGUUCAAAUUUGGGCCAGCAUGCCCCCCCCACUCCAUCUCUGCACCAGUUCACCACGCACCUGGAAUGCCGUCUGGCCAUGGUUGUUCUUGAUCUCUUUGUUUGCUCCCCGGUAUAGCAGGAUGCGGGCACAGCUCUCCUGGGGGUGGGGAAUGGGGGUGAGAGGAGAAAGAGAUAAGGAAUUAAUCAGGGUCACUUUCAGUCCACAGCACUCACAGCGGGCAGGUGUGUGCAUCCAGAGUUCUGCAUAAAUGAGAUUGUGCCAAUAAUGUAUUUACAAUUGUAGGACCCAACGUGGUUAACAAGAUUUUAUUUUGUUCAUCCACAUCUCGGUGAGAUAGACAGAACACACCGUUCUUCCCAUUAUACAGCCAGAAGAAGUGAGGCUUGUAAAACAAUUUGCAAAAAGCUUCUCUUGGCUGUAAUUGAACAAGGGCAGGGGGAAUGUCACUUGGCCGCUAUGGGGAGGGUGUGUGUGUCUGCCAGCUCAGAGACAGCUUGCUGUUUUCUCUCACCCUCCUGCCUCUCGGAGGAAGGCAAGAGGGCAGGGGCCCAUCUUCACUUUUUGUCCCAGGGUCCACUCCAACCUUGCUAUGCCUCAGCUUCGUGAGUCCACAGAUAGCCUGGGGUUUUAACACAUGUCUCCUAGUCCAAAACCAAUAUUCUGCAGUCACUGGACUAUACAGAUACCAAGCUUUCAUCUAAAAGACCGUUAAGCAGAGAGAGUCCACAUCGGGAUGGAGUUUCGUAUCCCUGACCUGGGCCAGUAGUCGCAGGGACUUUGGCAGAUGCAGGGCUAGGAGCGACAGUCAGCGUGACCCUGUGCCUCCUUGUCAAUUCAGGUAAAGCAGAGGAAAAUUCCAAAGACCUGCUCGAGUGGCAGUUGAUGAAAGACUGAGGUACAGCUGCAAGAGAUUCCUGCUUGACACCUUGGAGAGCCGCGGCCAGUCAGUGUAGACAAUGCUGAGCUAGAUGGACCAAUGGCUGACUCAGUAUGAGGCAGCUUCCUAUGCUCCUAUGACAGAAUACUGCAGGUUGUGAAGAGGAACAGAAUGGAGCUGGGCCUGGUGUUUAAACCCCCUGAACAUCUUAUGGGCAAGGAAUGGGUUCUGGUGCAUAUGUUUUAAUUGUGUUUUAAUAUUUUUAACUUUUUAAUUGUUGGUGUUACCAGUAUGCUGAUGAUACCCAGAUCUACUUCUCCGUGUCAACUUCUUCAGGAGUUGGCAUAUCCUCCCUAAAUGCCUGCCUGGAAGCAGUAAUGGGCUGGAUGAGGGAGAAUAAGCUGAAGCUGAAUCCAGAUAAGACGGAGGUACUUAUAGUGUGGGGUCGGAACUCUAGAGACGAUUUUGAUCUGCCUGUUCUAGACGGGGUCACACUUCCCCGAAAGGAACAGGUUCGCAGUCUGGGGGGACUUCUGGAUCAACGUCUCUCCUUGGUUUCUCAGGUUAAGGCGGUGGCCAGGGGUGCUUUCUAUCAGCUCCGGCUGAUACGCCAGCUGCGCCCGUUUCUCGAGAUCAAUGACCUCAAAACAGUGGUACAUUUGUUGGUAACCUCCAGACUGGACUUCUGUAAUGCGCUCUACGUGGGGCUGCCUUUGUACGUAGUCCGGAAACUUCAGUUGGUUCAGAAUGCGGCAGCCAGGUUGGUCUCUGGGUCAUCUUGGAGAGACCACAUUACUCCUUUGUUGAUGGAGUUACAGUGGCUGCCAAUAGGUUUCCGGGCAAAAUACAAAGUGCUAGUCAUAACUUAUAAAGCCCUAAACGGCUUAGGCCCUGGGUAUUUAAGAGAGCAUCUUCUUCGCUAUGAGCCCCACCGGCCGCUGAGGUCACUUGAGGAGGUCCAUCUCCAGUUGCCACCAACUCGUUUGGUGGCUACACAGAGACGGGCCUUCUCAGCUGCUGCCCCGAGAUUGUGGAAUGCGCUCCCUGCUGAGAUAUGAUCCUCCCCAUCUCUGGCAAUUUUCAGAAAACACCUGAAAACACAUCUCUUCAACCAGGCUUUCUCAGCUUUUUAAAACUUGUUUUUAAAUUGUUUUGAUUAUUUAAUUGUUGUUUUAUGAUGUUUUUAAUUGUUAAUCAUUGUUUUAUGUUUUAUAAUUUUUGUUUAAUUAUUAAUUGAUUUUAAUGGUGUUUUAAUGUAA